rnacentral:lncRNA from 1 species
UCCUCUCUUGGUUUUUUUUCAAGCUUCUUCCUCUGUAUCGUCUUCUGCCUCUCCCCGUUUAUUCCUUCUCUUUUUUUUAGCCCAGUCCCUUCUUCUCCUUGGCCUCCUCUCUGCGUCCCUUUCCUUGUUUUGCUGAGUUAUCCCCUGUCUUUCUCGGUCUCCCUCUCUCUCUGUAUAUGCUUGGUUGCCCUUGCGUCUGUCUGUUCGGGGGGAAGGGGGUUGCAACCAGAGUCGCGGCUAACACUGGCCUAGAAGAAGACGAUGAUGAAGGUG